UCUCUGGUUGUCCAGUGGUUAAGACUCUGCGCUUCCAAUGCAGGGGGCACAGGUUCAAUUCCUGGCUAGAGAA
rnacentral:tRNA from 1 species